GCGCCAGUAGCUCAAUCGGAUAGAGCAACAGCCUUCUAAGCUGUGGGUUGUGGGUUCGAUUCCCGCCUGGCGCA
rnacentral:tRNA from 1 species